AGCUCCAAUAGCGUAUAUUAAAGUUGCUGCAGUUAAAAAGCUCGUAGUUGCAUUUCCGAGGCAAGGGAUUAGUCCGACCUUUGGUGGGUAUUUAAUCCUCUUGCCUCGUCCUUGAGUGGUGCUUCUUGGUAUUAAGUUAUCGAGGAGAUAGCCGCUCAUCGUUUACUGUGAGAAAAUUAGAGUGUUCAAAGCAGGCUUAUGCCGUUGAAUAUAUUAGCAUGGAAUAAUAAGAUAGGACCUCGGUACUAUUUUGUUGGUUUGAGAACCAAGGUAAUGAUGAAUAGGGACAGUUGGGGGUAUUCGUAUUCAGUGGUCAGAGGUGAAAUUCUUAGAUUUACGGAAGACGAACUACUGCGAAAGCAUUUACCAAGGAUGUUUGCA
rnacentral:rRNA from 1 species